rnacentral:piRNA from 1 species
UGGACAUGGUAGAGAAUGCAGAUAGUUUGC